GAGGAAUAUAAGUGGGUAGUGUCUGGUAGACAUUGGUGUUGGUCAUUGCUAAGGUUGCUUGUUAAAAUCUGAUUAUGAUUUUCUUAGCUGUCAUUUUCUUGCUUGUGUAGACUGGAGUUAAUUUGUCAUUGCCUGUACUUCCAUAUCUGUUUCAGUUACCCUUUUCUGGCACAGGAAAGCGGACGGAGGCUAGGACAGGAAGCCAUAAUGAUGACACAUUCUUGGAGGCUGAGGUGGCAGGAGAAUUGUUCCUGGAGCAAACGGACAAUUUAAAAGCAGUUCCAUCUUCUGUUCUUGCUAGUCCUGCUUUGUGCUAUUUUGAUGAUCCACAUUUAUUUGAAAGGCACAGUUGGGCUAUAGAUUUGACAUCUAAGUGGAUGGUAAGUGCUGCUGUUUGUUUUAUUUGACCAGCUUGUGUGAUUUGUAGAGUCCCAA
rnacentral:lncRNA from 1 species